UGUGUGUGUGCAUGAAACAGUAGUACGUAAAAAGCACCCACUACACUCUCAGUGUGCUUGGCGUUAGGAAGGACAUCCAGCUGUAGAAACAUUGCCAGAUCACAUUGGACCCUGGUGCUGCCUCCUGGCUUGGCAGUCUCCAGU